UAGAUAGGCGUAGGUGACCCUCUAGGUGCAGAAGCUACUCACGGUUUAGCUGCAAGUAUGGGCGGUAUGCGCACUGCAGGAGAUCUUGUA
rnacentral:ncRNA from 1 species